ACUGAGUGUGUCUGACUUUGUGAUUGUGUAUGUGCGACUGACAGAGAGAAAAAGAAAAGGGUGUACGAGUGUCUGUUACAGGGAUUAAAAGUGUACCUGUGAGUGUUAAAGUGUGCGUGUCCAGUUUUCCUGAGAGAGAAACAGAAAAUGUGUAUCUUGUGUGGCGGAGAGAAAGAAUGUGUAUGUGGCAGUGAGUGAGAAAGUGUAUGGCAGCGAAUUAAAGAGUGUGUGUAAGACAGAGUGAGUGAAACAGUAGUGUGUGCGUAUGUGUUGGAGUGUGUGUGAAACUGUGUGUGAGCGGGGCUCCUGUGAGCUGUGUGAUUGGUUGAGUGUACGAAAUCUUGUGUGACGACGAAAUAGGAAUGGAUGAGUCCCACUGCAGGGGAGGAGUCCAAGGUGAAGUAGGGAAAUAGAGUAAUACACAGUGAAAAUGGGGGACAGAGGUGAACAGGGGGAAAAGGCUUUUGUAUGGGUAGAUAUAUAUAUAUAUAUAUAUAUAUAUAUACCGAUAAAUACCGAUAUCAAAUUAUUGUCCAGGCCUACUUGGUGCCGUGCACAGGCUUUCACGGUCAACAUCAGAGUGUGAAUUUAUGAAAGUACGACAUACCUGGGGUUGCGUUCCCUAACUGUCAGGAACUCUACGGCACUGAAUGUAGAUUAAACAGUGCUGCUACGCUGUGUGUGGUUCAGUGUGAUAGGCUGGUUAGCCAAAGACGGGUAAGAUCCCAACGUACUACAACGGGACAACCUAAGGCAGGCACAGUCUCGAUCUGACCACCACAUGCAUUUUAACAGAAAACGGAGAAAACAUCGUGGAAGGGAAGCGCAGCCCAGGCGAGAGUGCGUGGAUGCAUGAAGUGAUGGGGUGUGUGUCAGUGGAGGCCUGGGCAGGGUAGACCAGCCCAAUGGACAGUAAAGAGGGUGAAGCAAUUUUGCGUUAAGUUCUCUGAAACAGAAAUUCUGUUUCAGAAAAAGGGGGAGAUGUAAAUAGAUGAUCAUUAUUACCACCAUUAUUUGCCCAAUAAUUAUUUUAUAGAUAUAGAGCAUUUUUUAAACUUUUAGCUUGUUUAUCUUUUUAAAGUAUGGUUUUAAAACAACCACUAUGCAGAUGAGCAAUUACUUUCAGCAAUAUUGUAAAAGUUUUAGCUUUUAAGACACAAUUCAAUCCUAACUUUAAAAUAUGAAAUGUAGACACAAAAUUAAACUUUCACUAUUCAACAUGUAAGCCAUUUUUUGAACAAGAAAAACAAUGUGUGGGGCUUGAUAAAUUGUUUAAGGAAAUAGAUGUAUAGUUGAUAAUUGUGAAAAGCAGUCUGCUGUGCAUUGUAUAUGCAUAAAUACAUAUUGAUCAGUAAAUGUAAAGCAUUGUUCGGAUUUACUUGCUAUAAUAACGUGGACAAAGCAAAGCAUAACAUCUGUGUUUAUUAAUAUUGAUAAUAUUAUUGUUUGUAAUGGAACGAUUGAUACAGAGAAAAAUAAUCACGUUCCACUUAUCCCAAUUCUUAAAGCACUAAAUAAAAUCAACUAAAUCUAGAAAUCAAGGCUUUAUAAAAAUCUUGGGAACUGAAUAAAGUCAGAAAUAUAAUUUCUUAGUAAAAUAGCACACUGCAGAAAAUUAAAGUGGCAGGUAAAAUAAUAUAGCCACAAACAGUAAUUCUGAAGUCCAAGCAAAAGUAACCCAAGAAAGCCCAGUACAUCAAUAUGGAACCAUUCCUGAGACAGAAGCCACAUUAUGUGUAGUUUGUGCAGAGUUUAAAACUUUGGGCCCUGAUAUUCUAUCAAUCAGUGUGGAUAUGGAGGGGAGAAUAGAGCAGCUGAUCAUUACGAUCUAUAUAAAACAAAAAAAACAUGAUUUAGAUGUAUUUCCAGGUGUUUGUUUCUUAUUUAUUAUCUAUAAAGUAUUACCAAUACAAUAUGAGAAGAUCUACAGGAAGCUUUCAGUGGUAGGUUUAACAGCAGGUGCGUUUAAAGCAGCAGCUUUGGGCUGUGAAGCAGUAAAAUAUGGUCUGUACGAUGAUACUGCAGAGUUGAGGUGUGUUUUGGUAGUGUUUGUGAGAGUGGAAGUGUUUGAGUUUGUGAGUGUGUGCAUGCACGAGAAAUAGUGUGUGUCUAGUGGUAAACUGGGUGGUGAACAUUAGUAGUGUUUGUAAGAGCUAAUUUGGAUAUAACAGAGCCACAGGGCAGCAGUUACACUAAAAGGGAAAGGGAUGUGAACAAAAGUAAGGUAAAAGCCAGUAAUUAAUGGUGAUGAUAAUUAAAUGUUGCAAUUUAAAAUUGAAAAUUCCUAAAAGUUAGGGAUUGAAAGAAAUGACUAAAUGUUACGGAUUGAACGCACGUUUGACAGUAAAGAUCAUGAUUGAGUAUAACUGAAAAUCAGGACAACUGAAGAAGGUAAGAAAACAAAAAUUGGGCUGAAAUCUGUGCACAGACAAAAUUUAAAUAUGAAAUAAUUAACUUCCAAGGGGAAAUUAGAGCUCAAGUUAAGUGUGAUAAAUGUAUUUUAACCAUGUAUUUUAACUUACAGGAAGGAGACACGGAGGACGCCUUAAAAGACUUCCAAAAUGUAUAGAGAACCUUAAACAUGAUUAUAACGAAUACAAAAGUUUCGUUUCAGAUCUGUUUACACAGGGGGGAGAAGGAGAACGUGGUGCAAAGGUGGACCAGUCCAGACACAGAGUGGGUGCUCCUCCGCCAUUGCGCACGAAAGGGGAACGAGUAUGGCUGGAUUGAGCCUUUCCAGGUGACUGAGAGAACAACGUACGCAGGUCAACUGAAAGGCGAGGGUUCGACAUGGUGCAACUGGAGCCAGUGUGCAGCCACCCAGCGCAGAGAUCGCUCACAGAGCCAGAAGGAGAGGUGAGAACAGCAGCUGAAUCGUCUGACCCAGAUGGAGGCCCGCAGCAGGAAGGAGGGGUAGCACACUCACCCCCAGCAGCAGCAGGAAGGAGGGGCAGCAGAGCCCCCGCAGCACGGGCCUGGCCUGGCCACAGCAGAGAAAAAAGUUUCUCAGAGCGCAGCAGCAGCAGCACACAGCGUAGCUGUGACUGAGGAGCGGAAGUGAGGGAGUGACUCAUUCAACAACGUUUCGAUUGCGUCAAAGUACACUACAUACAGAGACCCUUAAACACAUCUCAUUAAAAGAACACACAUAGUCUUAUCACACAUCAACUCAUACUUUUCAUUCACUGAUAUUGCAGACAUCAAGAGCCAGAAUAAAGCUCUUCGUACGUGGGGCUGAGGUAGUCUACCUUCAGAACCCUGAAACAAGAAGAAAGAAGAAACGAACAACACGCAUUGCAACUUUAACAUUUACACAUAUAGGGUUAUAAACUGUGAUUUGCUAAAUUAGGGGGGGGGACACAUUAUUUUUCCUUUACAGGUUGUCCUGAACAUUGCUUUCCCUUACAGGUUGCCUUGGACUCUUGGAAAAACGGAAUUGUAAAAAAAAAAAUAAAAAAAAAUAAAAAUACACUCUGUAACCUUAACACUUACACAUAUAGGGCUAUAGAUCACAAGUUUACUAAAUAGUGGAAAACUUAGAGGGAAAACACAUUUAUGGUUUAAUAAUGGCUUGGUACGGAAAAAGGGAGUGGGACAGGUCAAAGUACGGAAACUAUAACGGGCCAGCAUUUCCUCUGGCUAUUCCAAUAUGGCUCCAGAUAAUAAUAACCGUUGCCCUCAUGGGUAUCAUGAUAAUAACAUUGGCCAUCGUCUCAAAGCAAGAACAACUAACAACGGUAGAGGGAACAAUUGUAAACACAUCAGCAACCAUACACCCGAUAAACGCAACUACUAAAGACCAGCCCACACAGCUUAAUAGAACCAAACGAUCAACCAUCGCCCAGUCUAACUCAAAAUGCAUCAGGCGCUGGGGAGGUAUAGAAUUAGACUAUUAUUGGGGGGAGACGACCGCAUGGACAGUGAACUUAUGCGAUGUGGUUACUUGUGGUAAGCAGGGGUCCAAGGGGGAAGCGGUGUACUUGUGUUGGUCCCGUGAUGAUAAUCUUAAGUGUAACCAUAAGGGUGAUUCUCACGAAGACCUUCACAUUAACAUAAAAAAGUUUUUCACCUCAUUGCAGCAUUUUUUUUUUUUUUCAAGUUGAGAAGCUAAUAUAGAAUGUGUAUUUUACUAUAUUGUUUAUUUUUUCAUAUAUUUUUUUUAAAUAGAAUUUUAUUAUCAUUUGAAUCUUAUAUGAUCCAGAAUAAUUCUCAUUACCGUUACAGUGAAUGACGAAGCUAGAUCAACGGUUCAAAACAUUUUUGAUGAUUAAUUUCAUAUUUCCACAACAAAUCCCAUCAACUUAACAGCACAGUCCUUGACAAUUACUUUGAUCUUUUUUAUUUAUUUAUUUAUAGUUAAGCAACUCUCAUUACCGAUACAACAUUUGUAAAAUAUCUUUUAAUUUUUUUAAUUAAUGGAAAUUAUUUUAGAAUAUGUUUGUUCAAAAACUCAUGUGGACAACAGGUGAGAGGAUACUAUACAUUUAAAAAAAAUUAACAUUUUAGAUCCAUAACGGUAAUGAGAACACAAUUAAACGGUAAUGAGAUGCUCUUAGCUAAUUUCACAAAUAACUUAAAAUGCUAAUAUGCUAACAACCUAUAACUUUGCCAGCUGUCAAAGCCUUAUAUUGUUAUAAUAUUCAUGAAAUAAUUUAUUUUUAUAUUUUUAAAAGUAAUGAGUGUUAAACCAUAACGGUACUGAUAAUACACAGUGUAACUGAGGACAGUUUUAGCAAUAUUAACACAGAUUUCUCAAAGGGAGAGAAUAGUGACCAACUGACCUUAUCUCCAUUUUGAAGCUUGUCUCUGAAGUGAUGCAUCAUGGGAUAGCUGAUCAAUUUAAAGGCACAGUGUAAUUUUUUUAGGGGGGUAAAAUCAUGAAACGGUAAUGAGAAAAAAUUGUUCGGACACAGUUAUUUUGUUUAAAAUCAAGUACAUUUUUUUUGUUCAACACAAAAAAUAUUUAUAUUAUGUAUAAAUGUUGAUAUUUUAAAUGACUUUAAUCUAUUUUAUUGAUUUGAUAUGCUUAGUACUUUUAAUAUGGUUUAACUUAAAAUUAGAAAGAAGGGGUACGGACACAUAACGGUAAUGAGAAUUUCCAUAUAUUUUUUAUUUAAUUUAUAUAAAAAUAAUUUUAUAUGAUGAAAACAAUUGAUCCAUACAGUACUACCUAUUUGCUUUACACACAAUAUCAGAGUUUUUGUGAAUUAAGUACUGAUUUUAAAAAUUGUCAUGGACAUGUUCCCUGCAGCUUCAUGAGAAUCACCCAUAACACCGACCAAGCAGCUUAUAAAGCCAGACCUUGUAACAAGUGGGAACACGUAAUUAGGUCGACACAUGUCAAUUGGGAUCCGAGCGAACGCUGGGCGACUCGUGAGCGGGAGAAAUGAAAUAAACUUAACAUACAAAGGGAUAAUGGUGCGAUAAAUAAUCUAAUAACCAUUGCAUUAGAGUGGCAAUCCGAUCCUAAUGGGGAAAAAUCUUCUGCAUUUUUCAUAGGGGUCGGGGUGGAUGUAAAUGGUAACGACCCUGUCGGAUGGAUCAAAGUUAGAGUUACAGACAAACCGACCAUCGACACCGACGAGGCCACAAAAAAAAUAACACAAUAGACAAUAAUGGGGGGAUCGGCCUAUACUGGAGUGUGAGGUAGAGCAAGAGGAAAUGCUGGAAACCAACCAGUCUUGGGGAUGACUUUAAGGAAAUGAUGUCACUUCCUCCUUUGAUAGAGUUCGAAUUAUUAGCCGCCUGGUGGCAGAGGGGCUGUGGGAGAAUUUUUCCUGCUAAAAUUGGUUGGAAGGCUGCCAGAACAGGUUUUCGCUCCCACCAUUAGCAAAAUGUUCACACAUCUGUUUAUCAAGUGUUGAACAUAUGUAAAUACAUAUUUGGAGGAAUUACGAUGUGUUGACGUAUCUGGUUGAUACGUCAAAAGGGAGAAUUGAAGAGUAACUGUUUAUUUUACCUUGGGUGUAUUGACAAAUAUCUUUCAGUUAUGAUUACUUAUCUUAGUAUCUAUAUUUACAUAAUCAUUGUGUGAAACCUUGUAUUCUAUAUGCAUAACCAAUACUCACAUUGUAUUUGAUCAUUUGUAUUACUCACAGUGUAUUUUACACGCAUUUAUAUAGAAGAUUAACCAAUACUCACAAUAUGUAUUAUUUACACAUAUAGUAAACAUUGUUUGAUAAGGCAUUUACUAACACAUUAACAUAUAACAUAUGAGAUGUAGCUCAGGCUUGAAGUAUUUUGUUUACUGCAUGACCCUAACUAACGGUCAUCAACUCGACUGGUACGGGGCUAAAUUGCUACAGAAGAGGCCUUAGAUCAAAGCGGCCUUUUGGUGAGUGAGUGCCUCCCUAGAACCUGCAGUGGCUUCAAAGAGGGGGGUGACGCACACACACAGAUAGUGCCACGAUGUUCCAUUCUGGAAGAACACAGUCAAGGCCAAACACUAGUGGUCCGGUCAGACACGUGAAACUUGAGUACUAACACGUGAAAUUAUGCAUAUUAACAUGAGCUAAUCGUUAGCAACGCCUCAUCAGCAGGUUUCACGUCAUUUGGGGUAUAAAACAUGGAGUCAGAUCAGAGGGGGGUCAGAACUUAUGCUGGGACGGCUGUUAGACGGUCUUUCAUGUGUUAGUUCUCCUGAAUAUUCAGUACUUUGUAAUAAAUACUUGGUUUGCUUUCAACUUCA